GGCAGUCUACAAACUGAGUGCACUGCUUACACAGGAGGAAACUGACAAAGAGGCCCCAGAGGAGGCAGAUUCUAGCCUGCAGCUUCCCCAUCCCUCAAAGCAUGCAGGUUAUGCUUCUUGAGAUGCAAAACUGAAAUCUAAUCACGAGGAGCCGUCACAUAAACCCAAUUUGAGGAACCUUCUACAAAACAACUGGCCUGUAACCUGGUUGCAGAGAGGAAAGGAGGAAAUUU
rnacentral:lncRNA from 1 species